GAUGAACGCUAGCGAUAGGCUUAACACAUGCAAGUCGAGGGGCAUCGAGGGUAGCAAUACCUGUCGGCGACCGGCGCACGGGUGAGUAACGCGUAUGUAACCUGCCCGCAACAGAGGGAUAACCCGGCGAAAGUCGGACUAAUACCUCAUAAAACAGGGGUUCCGCAUGGGGCUAUUUGUUAAAGAUUUAUUGGUUGCGGAUGGGCAUGCGUACCAUUAGGUAGUUGGUGAGGUAACGGCUCACCAAGCCAUCGAUGGUUAGGGGUUUGAGAGGAAGGUCCCCCACACUGGUACUGAGACACGGACCAGACUCCUACGGGAGGCAGCAGUGAGGAAUAUUGGUCAAUGGGCGAGAGCCUGAACAGCCAAGUCGCGUGAAGGAUGACUGCCCUAUGGGUUGUAAACUUCUUUUACAGGGGAAUAAAAUGAGAUACGUGUAUUUUAUUGCAUGUACCUUGUGAAUAAGCAUCGGCUAACUCCGUGCCAGCAGCCGCGGUAAUACGGAGGAUGCGAGCGUUAUCCGGAUUUAUUGGGUUUAAAGGGUGCGUAGGUGGGCUGUUAAGUCCGCGGUGAAAGUUUGUCGCUUAACGAUAAAAUUGCCGUUGAAACUGGUAGUCUUGAGUAUAGAUGAAGUAGGCGGAAUGCGUGGUGUAGCGGUGAAAUGCAUAGAGAUCACGCAGAACUCCGAUUGCGAAGGCAGCUUACUAAGGUAUAACUGACACUGAAGCACGAAAGCGUGGGUAUCAAACAGGAUUAGAUACCCUGGUAGUCCACGCAGUAAACGAUGAUUACUAGGAGUUUGCGAUAUAGUGUAAGCUCUACAGCGAAAGCGUUAAGUAAUCCACCUGGGGAGUACGCCGGCAACGGUGAAACUCAAAGGAAUUGACGGGGGCCCGCACAAGCGGAGGAACAUGUGGUUUAAUUCGAUGAUACGCGAGGAACCUUACCCGGAAUUGAAAUGUAGACGACGGAGAGUGAGAGCUUCCUUCCCUUCGGGG
rnacentral:rRNA from 1 species